rnacentral:rRNA from 1 species
ACGCUCGACACCUACGGGAGGCAGCAGUGGGGAAUAUUGCACAAUGGGGGAAACCCUGAUGCAGCGACGCCGCGUGAGUGAAGAAGUAUUUCGGUAUGUAAAGCUCUAUCAGCAGGGAAGAAGAUGACGGUACCUGAGUAAGAAGCCCCGGCUAACUACGUGCCAGCAGCCGGGUAAUCUGAGCGGGCUGGCAAGGC